rnacentral:rRNA from 1 species
UACAGAGGUCCCAAGCGUUGUUCGGAUUCAUUGGGCGUAAAGGGUGCGUAGGUGGCGUCGUAAGUCGGGUGUGAAAGCCCUGGGCUUAACCUAGGAAUUGCGCUUGAGACUGGAUAGCUUGGAGUGCGGCAGAGGGAGGUGGAAUUCCACGUGUAGCAGUGAAAUGCGUAGAUAUCUGGAGGAACACCGGUGGCGAAGGCGGCAUCCUGGACCGGCAUUGACGCUGAGGCGCGAAAGCCAGGGGAGCAAACGGG